rnacentral:rRNA from 1 species
CCUACGGGAGGCAGCAGUGGGGAAUAUUGCUCAAUGGGGGAAACCCUGAUGCAGCGAAGUCGCGUGAGUGAAGAAGUACCUACUUAUUGUACGCUCCUUUUGUAAGGGACUAAAGGGCGGUACCUGUGUAAGUAUGCACGGCUAACUAGGUUCCAGAAGCCGCGAUACUGCGCCGGCGGCAAGGGUUAUCCGGAUUUACUGGGUGUUAAGGGAGCGUAGAGGGUAUGUCAAGUCUGGAGUGAAAGGCUGGGGCUCAACCCUCGGAUUGCACUGGAAACUGUCCGGCUGGAGUGCAGGAGAGGUAGGCGGAAGUCGUAGUGUAGCGGUGAAAUGCUUAGAUAUUACGAAGAACACCGAUUGCGAAGGCAGCUUACUGAACUGUAACUGACGUUGAUGCUCGAAAGUGUGGGGAGCAAACAGGAUUAGAUACCCGAGUAGUC